AGCACAGGUAAAUGUUUUUUUAAAAAAAAGGUAUAUUUUUUCUAAAUCAUUGAUGAACCAGACAGAGACAACACGUCACAGCAAGGGGGCCCAAAGUCGGUGCUGAAGGAGGUCAUGCAGCUAUGUGAAGUAUGGUCAAAGCAACAUUAGCCAAAAGGCUGUGUCCAACUUGUACUUAAACAACUCAGCAGGGGACUAAAUAAGACAAACAUAGACAUAACAGAGAUAGGAACAGAAAAACACUGGAGAUUAUUUAAGUUCUGCAGCGUAGAAAGGGUGAGACAGUAAUAUGAAAUCUAUUUAAUGUAUUCAAGAUGCUUUAUAAACAAGCAUUUAACUUAUGAAGACAUUGUUUGAAAUAUAAAUGAUCAAUAUAAAUUCAAAAUUCAAAAUGUUACAGCCGGACACGACACAAAUCCCUAAUUGACCUCUCAAGGCUCAUUGUGUCCGGCUGGACUUCUGACCUGACGAAAGAAAUGGAAAGGAGUUAUGUAAUUUCUAUUUGCCAGCUGUGGUUUAAAUAGUGUGGGAAUCCUACAAGCUGGUGCUACAUGUCAGCACCAGAUGCUACCUAGACAGGAACAUGUGGAUCUGUUUUUUUUUCUAGAUGGUCAAGUAUCAUCUGAUUGUGACGCCAGAAAAAUGUCAUUCCUCUCCAAAUAAAGACGGUACUGGUGAUCCAACGACAACCCGUGCAAUAUAUGACAGCUCCAUGCGGCUCGGCUCAAUCAUGCAAAAGGGAGGUGACACGCGUUCAAAUGGAUCCAGACGCGCAAAUCGUCAGAUUGGAUACCUGAGAUGCUAAAAGGGGCAGAGGUGUGGUGUAAAAAAACAGUCUUACACAGCGGGCAAAUGGGCUCGUGCAGCACCGCAGAGAAGAAAGGUACAAACAGGUUUGUACGAUUGUCCGUCUACGUGAUUCUUAGAAAAAAAAACAAUCUUGCCUUGCUUGAAGAUAUUAUGCAACUGUAAAAAAAAUUCAGCUUGUAUGUGACUUCUGGGACAACGUGAAACCUGCAUUUUGAAGUAGGUCGUUGAUUAAAUCAUCCUGAUAUGACGAGUACAUAUUAUAACAACAAAAUGAAUAUAUAGAAACCAAAUUUUCUACAAAUAUACAAAGGAAAAAAACCUACUGUCAAACAGCAAGAAAAAAAGUCUAAAACAUAAUAUAUAUCUAUUUAUAUAUAUAUAUAUAUA